AUGUUUUCAAGUAUGCUGCGUGUGUCGUCUUAGAAAUAUUCAGAGGAAUGAAUAGACCAAUGUGUUUAGGAUUUGUGCUCGUGUUUAGAAGACAGCCCUUUGAACUUCGUAGUGUAAACUGUCACACAACCAACCUGUGAAGACAUGACGGUUAGCUCUGAAGGCUGCUGCUGCUCGGUGGAGGAGGGAAGAAUUGCAGGUGCCGGUGACUUUACAUUCAUACACACAAGUUUUGGGGAUACUUAAUUCACAUUUUUAUUUAUAUUCAAAAAGUUUUU